rnacentral:rRNA from 1 species
ACUCCUACGGGAGGCAGCAGUGGGGAAUAUUGCACAAUGGGCGCAAGCCUGAUGCAGCCAUGCCGCGUGUGUGAAGAAGGCCUUCGGGUUGUAAAGCACUUUCAGCAGUGAGGAAGGCGGAGUCGUUAAUAGCGGCCUCGUUUGACGUUAGCUGCAGAAGAAGCACCGGCUAACUCCGUGCCAGCAGCCGCGGUAAUACGGAGGGUGCGAGCGUUAAUCGGAAUUACUGGGCGUAAAGCGCAUGCAGGUGGUUUGUUAAGUCAGAUGUGAAAGCCCGGGGCUCAACCUCGGAAUAGCAUUUGAAACUGGCAGACUAGAGUACUGUAGAGGGGGGUAGAAUUUCAGGUGUAGCGGUGAAAUGCGUAGAGAUCUGAAGGAAUACCGGUGGCGAAGGCGGCCCCCUGGACAGAUACUGACACUCAGAUGCGAAAGCGUGGGGAGCAAACAGGAUUAGAUACCCUGGUAGGAUAGCG